AAUGAACGCUGGCGGCGCGCCUAAUACAUGCAAGUCGAGCGAGAAGACGUAGCAAUACGUUUGUAAAGCGGCGAACGGGUGAGGAAUACAUGGGUAACCUACCCUAGAGUGGGGAAUAACUAGCCGAAGGUUAGCUAAUACCGCGUACGCUCCUUGGACUUCGGUUCAGGGAGGAAAGCGAUGCCGAGGGUAUCGCGCUCUUGGAUGGGCUCAUGUCCUAUCAGCUUGNGGUGAGGUAACGGCUCACCAAGGCUUCGACGGGUAGCUGGUCUGAGAGGACGAUCAGCCACACUGGGCACUGCGACACGGGCCAGACUCCUACGGGAGGCAGCAGUAAGGAAUAUUGCGCAAUGGGCGAAAGCCUGACGCAGCGACGCCGCGUGGGGGA
rnacentral:rRNA from 1 species